GCCUCAGUAACGGCGAGUGAAGCUGCAAAAGCUCAAAUUUGAAAUCCCCCCGGGGAGUUGUAAUUUGAAGAUUGCGUCUUGGAGGCGACCGUGUCUAUGUUCCUUGGAACAGGACGUCACAGAGGGUGAGAAUCCCGUGCGGCACGGCCCCCGGCUCCUUAUAAGGCGCUCUCGACGAGUCGAGUUGUUUGGGAA
rnacentral:rRNA from 1 species